rnacentral:rRNA from 1 species
GACGAACGCUGGCGGCGUGCCUAAUACAUGCAAGUAGAACGCUGAAGGAGGAGCUUGCUUCUCUGGAUGAGUUGCGAACGGGUGAGUAACGCGUAGGUAACCUGCCUGGUAGCGGGGGAUAACUAUUGGAAACGAUAGCUAAUACCGCAUAAGAGUAGAUGUUGCAUGACAUUUGCUUAAAAGGUGCCAUUGCAUCACUACCAGAUGGACAUGCGUUGUAUUAGCUAGUUGGUGGGGUAACGGCUCACCAAGGCGACGAUACAUAGCCGACCUGAGAGGGUGAUCGGCCACACUGGGACUGAGACACGGCCCAGACUCCUACGGGAGGCAGCAGGAGGGAAGCUUCGGCAAUGGACGGAAGUCUGACCGAGCAACGCCGCGUGAGGGAAGAAGGUUUGCGGAUCGUAAAGCUCUGUUGUAAGAGAAGAACGAGUGUGAGAGUGGAAAGUUCACACUGUGACGGUAUCUUACCAGAAAGGGACGGCUAACUACGUG